AGACGGACGGACACGGAUACGGACGGACGGACACGGAAGGAUACGGAUGGACGGACACGGACGGAUACAGACAGACGGACGGACACGGACAGAGCCCCGUCCCCCCACCGGGGUUCCCCCCGGCCCCCUUCCCUUUUCCACGCUCGGCGGCCGGAUUCCCCCCGGCGCCGCUCAAUGAACCGCGCUGCCCGCCCGCCGCCGCCGCCGCCCCCAGCACACGCUUUUGGGGCGGUUUUGGCCACUUUUGAGUGACAUCGACACGCGCGGCCGGCGGCGGGCGGCCACGAGCUGCGACCUCCAGCGAGCCACCGAAAACAGUACCGCUGCUGAAAAUGGGGCGGAAAGGAGGAAAAUCGGGGAGCGAGCGCUCCCUGUGAACAGUUAAUGCUGUUACGAAGGCUACCGAGGCCGGGGCGCGGCGGGACACGGACGGUCCUACAUCUCUCGGCGGUAUAAAUAUGGGAUUUUUCGGACAGGUUA